AGCAGAAACAGCAGGUUCACCCCACAGCACCAGCAGACCUGCCUGCAUUCUGACACACACAAGUUCCUGUGGCAGGAACGUGCCCCUGGUCAGCCAUUCUUGGCCUUCUCAGCAUCCCAGCCAAGGGCAUAGUAGCCCUCAGCCUCUCCGUCUCGAGUCUCCGGUGACAGUUCUGCCUUGGCCUGCUUUCCCUCCAGCCUGAGCCUUCACGGGAUUAUAAACGAACUGCUUGCUGUUUCCCGUAGCCACCUUCACCGUCACACUCUGGCUUCCAGCAGCAGACCCUUCUUUAGGCCUUCACAGGCAGGAGUUUCUGUUCUACUGGAACCAAGUGCAACCGCCUUUGCCACCCCUCAAUGAUGCUCUCGUUGAUGGCCCAUGUUAUGCCUCACUACUGGCCAGCGAGUGACCACCUCUGGAUCAAAAUGCCCAUCAGACACCACACUCCUUGAUUCUCACCACUCGUGUGGUCCAGCCACUACCCCAAACUAGCAAACUAGAAACAAGCGUGGGAUGCAGAUACUUUGGAGAACCAGACAACCCAGGAGUCACUCAGUCAGAUAGCAGGCAAUGGUGGAUAGGCAGAGUUCUCUGGCGAGAUGGGUGUGUGAAAGCCAUGGGGAGCUGAGAUAAGGCUAGUGGCCUCUACACACCGAGGCUCUACCUGCCAGGAGGGCAUCAGCAGCAGAGGCUGCCGCUGUUGAUUAACAUCCUGGAUUCAAAAGGCCUCCAAAUAAUAGGACAUGUUUGUGUGUGAGUCUGUAACGUCAGUAUAUGAGAGGUGGGUGCAGGAGAACCACAACUUUGGGGCUAGCUCUGGUUGCAUAGCAAGACAGGGUCUCAAAAGAGAAAAAGGCAAAAAGAAAUUUCCAAGUAGAUACUGGCUAGCAAAUAAGGAAGUCUUCAUGUCAUGGCUCCCUGUGGAGGAUAGGGUGAGUCAGCACCAUUAAAAUGUCAUUCUCUCUGA